AAACCAUGAUGGGGGCAAAGCCUAAGCAUUUCUUUGAAACGCUCCCACGCAUCGUAAAGAGAUUCCCCCAUCUUUUUGAGUGAAUCGUGUGAUUUGAUCCCUUAAUUG
rnacentral:snoRNA from 2 species